UUAAUGUGGCUCUUCUGAUUUCUCCAGCUCAAAGUCGCGCUUCCCCCAUUUCUGAGACAACUCACAGAAGAGGCGCUGGCCAUCUUAAAUAAGGCAAUCGAAACAUUGAAGAGAAAAUUCCAUCAAGCAAUAAGGAUUCUGGGUUAGUAGAAGAUCUCCUUAGGCAGGUACCAAAUUUUUUCUUUGAAGGUAGAAGAAGAGAACGAGAACGCGUAAAUCGUAGAACUUGUGAAGAUACGGUAUGAAAUAUAUUCAAGCUAUAAGAAGAAAUCAAGAACAUAGAACAUAGAUCUAUCCUGGGAAGAUACCAAGCUAUAUGCGAGCUUGUCAUGAGCUCACGGGAAUGGAAAGCUGGCUGAAGGAGCAUUUGACUUUCGUUACACCCCUUGUAAUCUAGCCUCGUCAGUUUGUUGACUCUUCAUGUUCAGGCACGACAAUCUCUUAUUGUCCAAGUUCAUUUCUCAUUGAUGGCUGAUCCUUGGCAUCCUGGUGGAGCAAAUGAAUGAAGGGUAGACAAGAACAAUAAAGACUUUACAUGAGAGUAUUGGUUGACUGUUGCUGAAACUUCAAAUGUUCUAGGAAUCUUUUAUUUUUAUAUAUUAUGCAAAGCUAUGUGUGCGAAAUCUUGAAUCGCCGAACAAUAUUGUAUCUUUUGAUUUUAUGAAUAUUAUCUUUUUGAUAAUUUGGAUCAUGAUUUUGUUUA